CCCCUCUCAGGCUGGCACCUGGAGAGUUUCCAGUACUCUACCAGUCUUGGCUAAGGCAGGAAGAGUCAAGCAGAGGCAUACCCAUUCCAUUCCUAGCUUGGGAAGGGGCUAGCCAAUGGAAGGCCAUCUGCUACAAGU
rfam:Ornithorhynchus anatinus chromosome 15, whole genome shotgun sequence.